ACAGUUGGUCAGGACUGAGAGCUGAGGUAACCAUUUUGGUGAAACAGGAGCUGCGCUGAGGGAGAUCCAUGUGAGUGACAGCAGCCAUGGAUAGAGACAUCCCAAAGACGGAUUAGAACAGUGGACCAAAGAUUAUGGAAUAUAGAAGCAGAGGAUGCACAGCAUUUUGGACAUUUACCGGACUCCUCAGCUAUAUAAUGUUUUCGUUGACUCUGUGAAAUGUAAUCCCUAUGAACAGUUUUUACAUGAAUUUCCUGUAAAACAGAAGUAUGCACAGUGCACAUAAACGUAUCAUGACGUUUAAAUAAAA